GGUUAAGCGACUAAGCGUACACGGUGGAUGCCCUGGCAGUCAGAGGCGAUGAAGGACGUGCUAAUCUGCGAUAAGCGUCGGUGAGGUGAUAUGAACCGUUAUAACCGGCGAUUUCCGAAUGGGGAAACCCAGUGUGUUUCGACACACUAUCAUUAACUGAAUCCAUAGGUUAAUGAGGCGAACCGGGGGAACUGAAACAUCUAAGUACCCCGAGGAAAAGAAAUCAACCGAGAUUCCCCCAGUAGCGGCGAGCGAACGGGGAGGAGCCCAGAGCCUGAAUCAGUGUGUGUGUUAGUGGAAGCGUCUGGAAAGGCGCGCGAUACAGGGUGACAGCCCCGUACACAAAAAUGCACAUAUUGUGAGCUCGAUGAGUAGGGCGGGACACGUGGUAUCCUGUCUGAAUAUGGGGGGACCAUCCUCCAAGGCUAAAUACUCCUGACUGACCGAUAGUGAACCAGUACCGUGAGGGAAAGGCGAAAAGAACCCCGGCGAGGGGAGUGAAAAAGAACCUGAAACCGUGUACGUACAAGCAGUGGGAGCCUCUUUAUGGGGUGACUGCGUACCUUUUGUAUAAUGGGUCAGCGACUUAUAUUCUGUAGCAAGGUUAACCGAAUAGGGGAGCCGAAGGGAAACCGAGUCUUAACUGGGCGUUAAGUUGCAGGGUAUAGACCCGAAACCCGGUGAUCUAGCCAUGGGCAGGUUGAAGGUUGGGUAACACUAACUGGAGGACCGAACCGACUAAUGUUGAAAAAUUAGCGGAUGACUUGUGGCUGGGGGUGAAAGGCCAAUCAAACCGGGAGAUAGCUGGUUCUCCCCGAAAGCUAUUUAGGUAGCGCCUCGUGAAUUCAUCUCCGGGGGUAGAGCACUGUUUCGGCAAGGGGGUCAUCCCGACUUACCAACCCGAUGCAAACUGCGAAUACCGGAGAAUGUUAUCACGGGAGACACACGGCGGGUGCUAACGUCCGUCGUGAAGAGGGAAACAACCCAGACCGCCAGCUAAGGUCCCAAAGUCAUGGUUAAG
rnacentral:rRNA from 1 species